GAAGCGGACAGUGGAUUUUGAUAGCAUAAAAACCAAUGUUGAAAAACACUUAAAAGCAGUAAGGAAUCAAUAGCAGCUCCAAGGAAGAUGGUUAAAUAGAUCUUCAACCAAUGAAAUCGGACAAGUUUAUUUAAGCCAUAGUUUUUAUAGAUUCUAUAGAAAUCAACAUGUACCUUAAAGUACACAAGACGAAAAACACUAAAUAUUUUUAUCUUUCUCAUUCAUAACACCAAUAAUGAGUGCAUUUACCAUUUUCAUAUAUUUUAUAAGUUACGAGGUAUAUGAAAAAAAUUAUAUCAAAUUAUUUUUAUCAUUAAGGGGAGACAAGAACAACAAACAAACAAUAAUGUUUCAUUCAAUGGGAGAUUACUCAGAUAAUUUGUGUGCAGUUGGAAUUAAAAUCAAACCUUUUUCCAGCUGUUAAAUUCCUAUACAGACAGGACUGAUGCUAUGUGAUUGGGUAGUAAGAAACAGAAAAACUUUUAUAAAGUUUAAGGAUGAUAGUUUAGUUAAAUUGGAAAAAUUUAUAAUUUGUGUCAAUUUUAAUUCCUUUUAGGUUAUUUCUGGGACAUGUUUCAUGGUAUUGGGAGUAAGGCUUGGUAGCCUACUACAGCUAAGAUAUAAGUUAGCUUUCAGUUUGUUUGUAAGGAUUGAGACUGGAAAUGGCAAUUGGAGCAGACUUUUAAGGCUGGUGUAAUGACAAUGAUUUCAUGGUGUUGGGAGUAAGAAUUGGAGAUCUGAUACUGCUAACAUGUUGGUUAGCAUCACAGCUUGUCCUUAGGGAUACAGACUGGGGUAGCAUUUGGAUCUGUUUCAAGGUGUGUUCCUGCUGCUGCCUUGUGUGGUCAAUCAAGUGGACAAUAAUAAUCAUGCAAACCACAUAUAUAUUGCUUUUUUGUUUAAUAAAAUCCUUAAAUGAUAAUUCUGAGAGCCAAAUGAUAAUUUUUUUAAUGCUGUUAUUUUUUUCCAAUUGCUGUAAAUUCACAAUUUUU